CUAAUUUUUUUAUAUUUAUUUUGUAUGGUGUGAGGUUUAGGUCAAGAUUUUUUAAGAUUCUUUAUUUUUUCUUCUCUUUCUUUCUUCUUUUUUUUUUUUUUUUUUUUUUUGGCCUAUGGAUAUCCCAACUAUUUUUUUAAAAGAUGGUUUUUCUCCAUUGAAUUUUAUUUGUACCUUUGUCAAAAAUCAGUUGGUAGUUGGUUUUACUUAUGUGAAGCUAUUCCUGGGUUCUGGGUUAUACUUUAAUCCUUAAUAACUUUAGAGAAAAUAAUUAUCUUGUCGUGGCCUUCAAUGUAUAUCUAAGGCCUAUCUGAUUGCCCUGUCACAUGUCCCUUGAUUUUCUUAUUUUUCUUCUUCCUUUCUUCCCCUGCCCCUAUAUCCUCAUAGAAUUAUCUAUGUGGGUUAACCAUCAGUUUAUCAGUUUAU
rnacentral:lncRNA from 1 species